GUUUCUGUAGUGUAGUGGUCAUCACGUGCGCUUCACUCGCGCAAGGUUCCCAGUUUGAUCCUGGGCGGAAACG
rnacentral:tRNA from 1 species